GCAUGCGGGGCCUCCGCUGGAGAAUCCCGCUCCACCACCGUGACCAGCAACGAAGUGAGACCAGCGCCAUCAGGACAGAGGGACCCAGCGGACCUUCUUUUCUGACGUCCUUGGGCAUCUCAGAGGGCGUCAGCUUUAGUCUCUCAGAUCCAGAAGCAGAUCAAAGCAGCAGACAGAUGAUCACAAAAGUAACAUGUGCUCCUCUGUGUGUGCCGGGUUAAACCUUGAUCAAGAAUGUUCAGGAUGAAAGACAGCACAAAUAGUUAAAAGGAAAGUCAGAGGUAGAAUGGAUUCAUUCUAAAUUAGCAGCAUGUGAAUAUCCCACAGCACAGUAUACAGAGAACUAUUUCACAAAAGUAUUUGCAGGCUCCAUGUGGCACAGUCCGAGAACUACUGUCCUACAGGAAGCAGGAGAUGAUGGAUACGAAAAUACAGGUGGAAGUGUUACCUAGGCAAGAGGAAGAAAUAUUUAUUCAUCUGAGACAAGAGUAAAAGAAGAUAGAGAGGCACUGGUGAGACAAUAUGAAAAUUUCAAAGUAUCUUCCAGUUUAUUUAUUUUUGUCCCUUGCUGUUUUCCUGUGGCAGGGCAUAGCAGAAUCUUUUAGUAUGCAAUGUUGGGCUUGUAGCUGAGAAGAGAUUUCAGAGCUAAAUAGCCCAGUAAUAUAAAGUGGAAAAGAUGGUAUUUGGAUGAAGCCAAAGGAAGGAGGCUCUCAAAAGAGAUAAG